rnacentral:rRNA from 1 species
UACAGAGGUGGCAAGCGUUGUUCGGAAUUACUGGGCGUAAAGGGCGCGUAGGCGGCCUUCUAAGUCAGACGUGAAAUCCCCCGGCUUAACCUGGGAACUGCGUCUGAUACUGGAGGGCUUGAGUAUGGGAGAGGGAUGUAGAAUUCCAGGUGUAGCGGUGAAAUGCGUAGAUAUCUGGAGGAAUACCGGUGGCGAAGGCGGCAUCCUGGACCAUUACUGACGCUGAGGCGCGAAAAGCGUGGGGAGCAAACAGGG